rnacentral:rRNA from 1 species
CACGGGGGUUGCGAGCGUUGUCCAGAAUUACUAGGCGUAAAGGGCAGGCAGGCGGAUCCAUAAGUUUAUCGUUUAAGGCGUCGGCUUAACCGGCGUAGGGCGGUAGAUACUGUGGAUCUGGAAUGCGGUUGGGGAAGACAGAAUUCCUGGUGUAGCGGUGGAAUGCGCAGAGAUCAGGAGGAAUACCGAAGGCGAAGGCAGUCUUCCAAGCCGUUAUUGACGCUCAACUGCGAAGGUGUGGGUAUCAAACAGGAUUAGAUACCCGGGUAGUCCCUGA